GAGAGGUGCCCCGAGUAUUCCCACACCUGAGAAAGAUCACUUUACUUCUUCCUGGGGCCCCCACAUGGAAACUAAUGAAGCCCUAAUGAAGAGAACAACUGCUUCAUGAGAGCAGAGACCCUGCUUGUCCACUGUGGUGUUGGCAGCAUUCAGAAGUCUUCCUGGACAAAGAGGCCUGAAACCCAGCAAAUCCAGCCCAGCCUCUGUUGACCUGCUUUGGUACUCAUGCAACCCAGCCAGGAUGCUGCCAAGAGGGCAUGUGCACUUCACUCUCCUUUCUCCUAACAC